AAGAAGAAGAAGAAAAAAA
rnacentral:sRNA from 1 species